rnacentral:rRNA from 1 species
ACCUCGGAUCAGGUAGGGAUACCCGCUGAACUUAAGCAUAUCAAUAAGCGGAGGAAAAGAAACCAACAGGGAUUACCUCAGUAACGGCGAGUGAAGCGGUAACAGCUCAAAUUUGAAAGCUGGCUCUUUUAGGGUCCGCGUUGUAAUUUGUAGAAGAUGCUUCGGGUGUGGCCCCGGUCUAAGUUCCUUGGAACAGGACGUCAUAGAGGGUGAGAAUCCCGUAUGUGACUGGGUGCUUUCGCUCAUGUGAAGCUCUUUCGACGAGUCGAGUUGUUUGGGAAUGCAGCUCAAAAUGGGUGGUAAAUUUCAUCUAAAGCUAAAUAUUGGCCAGAGACCGAUAGCGCACAAGUAGAGUGAUCGAAAGAUGAAAAGCACUUUGGAAAGAGAGUUAAACAGUACGUGAAAUUGUUGAAAGGGAAGCGCUUGCAACCAGACUUGCGCGCUGAUGAUCAUCCGGGCUUCUGCCCGGUGCACUCGUNUGCGCUCAGGCCAGCAUCGGUUUCGGUGGUGGGAUAAAGGCCUUNNGAA